CAAAAAUCUGUGCGGCAUAAGUCAAUGUUCAGUCAUUCAAAGGUCUCUCUGAAAAAUUGGAUGCAAUUCAUGUACAGGGUCUUAGACUUAGACAAAUUGACAUGAUGGAAGACAGCGUUGCAGCCAGUUCAGCCACUCUGACCAAAAUGGCCAAAAAAAUAAGGGAGGUAUGUGUGUUUGCGAUGGAGAGGUUGAGGAGGCGGACACGUCAGCAGAUUGGUGGGAGAAGGGAGUUUGUAGCUAUUGAUGAGAGCCACUUUCGACACAAGUGAAAGUAUGGAAGAGGAAGGAUGGCUGGUGGGUGGAGACGGCGGAAG
ensembl:lncRNA